AUCAUCCAGGUGUCUGUGUUCCCAAGGAAUUUCGGGGGAGACCAGAGAUGCAUUAUUGCUUUAAAGGAAAUAAACCUAUGUGAAACCUACAGUCGGGAAACUAUACGACGAAGUAAUCGUGAUCACAUACCGACAAUAUGAGCGCGACAACUAACUCUGCGAGCUACGACAACUUCAAUGUGUUUUAUUUGGACGUGGCUCGGGUACCCACCAUUUCCCAAGAGGCUUCGUGGUCAUCAACACACUGAUGAGCUCCUA
rnacentral:lncRNA from 1 species